rnacentral:rRNA from 1 species
CCCUUAGAUGUUCUGGGCCGCACACGCGCUACACUGAAGGAGGCAGCGUGUACUCCGGGAUCGAAAGAUUUGGGUAACCCGCGAAUCUCCUUCGUGCUAGGGAUUGAGGUUUGCAAUUAUCCUUCAUGAACGAGGAAUUCCCAGUAAGUGCAAGUCAUAAGCUUGCGCUGACUACGUCCCUGCCCUUUGUACACACCGCCCGUCGCUCCUACCGAUUUCGAGUGGUCCGGUGAAUCUUUCGGACUGCGCGCGGCUUCGUGCCGUGUCGCGGAAAGUCAGGUAAACCUUAUCACUUAGAGGAAGGAGAAGUCGUANCA